rnacentral:rRNA from 1 species
GUAGGUGGCAAGCGUUGUCCGGAAUUAUUGGGCGUAAAGCGCGCGCAGGCGGUCCUUUAAGUCUGAUGUGAAAGCCCACGGCUCAACCGUGGAGGGUCAUUGGAAACUGGGGGACUUGAGUACAGAAGAGGAAAGCGGAAUUCCAAGUGUAGCGGUGAAAUGCGUAGAGAUUUGGAGGAACACCAGUGGCGAAGGCGGCUUUCUGGUCUGUAACUGACGCUGAGGCGCGAAAGCGUGGGGAGCAAACAGGGAUUAGAUACCCUGGUAGUCCACGCCGUAAACGAUGAGUGCUAAGUGUUAGGGGGUUUCCCGCCCCCCUUAGUGCUGCAGCUAACGCAUUAAGCACUCCGCCUGGGGAGUACGGCCGCAAGGCUG